UAAGCGUGUGGUGAAAUUUGAGGCUCAACCUCAAACUGCUACACGAACUGACGAACUAGAGUAUAUGAGGGGAGCUUGGAAUUUCUAGUGUAGGAGUGGAAUCCGUAGAUAUUAGAAGGAACACCAAUGGCGUAGGCAGAGUUCUGGCAUAUUACUGACGCUAAGGCACGAAAGCGUGGGGAGCAAACAGGCUUAGAUACCCUGGUAGUCCACGCUGUAAACGAUGGAUGCUA
rnacentral:rRNA from 1 species